rfam:Gossypium raimondii Chr10_contig_958, whole genome shotgun sequence.
AACCCAAGGUGAGGGCACUGUCUCAAUAAGUCCUUGUAUCUCUCCCAUGCAAAAUAUAAUGUCUCUAAAUUGAUUUGCACAAAAGAAGAGAUGUCAUUCCUCAACUU